rnacentral:rRNA from 1 species
GAUGAACGCUAGCGGCAGGCUUAACACAUGCAAGUCGAGGGGCAGCAGGGGUAGCAAUACUCGCUGGCGACCGGCAAACGGGUGCGGAACACGUACACAAUCUACCUUUAUCUGGGGUAUAGCCCGAAGAAAUUCGGAUUAAUCCCCCAUAAGAUAUUAGAGUGGCAUCACUUAGAUAUUAAAACUCCGGUGGAUAAGGAUGAGUGUGCGUCCCAUUAGCUAGUUGGUAGGGUAACGGCCUACCAAGGCAACGAUGGGUAGCUGGUGUGAGAGCACGACCAGCCACACGGGCACUGCGACACGGGCCCGACUCCUACGGGAGGCAGCAGUGAGGAAUAUUGGUCAAUGGACGCAAGUCUGAACCAGCCAUGCCGCGUGAAGGAUGAAGGCCUUCUGGGUUGUAAACUUCUUUUAUUGGGGAAGAAAAUUACGGUUUCUACUGUAACCGACGGUACCCAAGGAAUAAGCACCGGCUAACUCCGUGCCAGCAGCCGCCGUAACAC